CAGUCGCCGCGGGAAUACAGAGGGUGCGAGCGUUAAUCGGAUUUACUGGGCGUAAAGCGUGCGUAGGCGGCUUUUUAAGUCGGAUGUGAAAUCCCUGAGCUUAACUUAGGAAUUGCAUUCGAUACUGGGAAGCUAGAGUAUGGGAGAGGAUGGUAGAAUUCCAGGUGUAGCGGUGAAAUGCGUAGAGAUCUGGAGGAAUACCGAUGGCGAAGGCAGCCAUCUGGCCUAACACUGACGCUGAGGUACGAAAGCAUGGGGAGCAAACAGGAUUAGAUACCCCCGUAGUCCCUGUCUCUUAUAC
rnacentral:rRNA from 1 species